rnacentral:rRNA from 1 species
AUGGACUUGAUCUCCUCCGAUGAUUCGGCCAUGGCGAGAAGGAUAUGCCUGGUUUGUGCGGAUGGUUUGGAAGGGGCGCCGUCCGGCUCGGUCGAUCUAACCCUGCUUGGGAUUUUGUGUCGAUUCGCCGGAGCAAAUCAACACCCAGAGCAGUGGAUGUUACAGAUCGAUCUCGCGGCGGAGUGGGAGGAAGAAAAUUUCUGGCCGGGAUCGCAGGAGGCUCUGAUUACCAGUUGUGACGAUCCACACGAACAGAUCGCACGAGGGGAAAGGGGAAGAGAUUCAGAGAAGGAGGAAAGUAGCUUUACUAGAUGA